GCAGGAGGGACUGGGAACGCAGAGCCUCCGUCCCGAGACAGGCACCAGCUCUGCACAGAGAACUUCUCGCGCCUUCCGUGAUCUGGCUGUUAACGAUCAUUUAAGGGGGAAAAAGUGCAGUUCAGACUCACACUGAUGCCUUUCCAGCUUCAAGGUGCAAACAGAAAUUUUCUGCGCUCCCCUUCAAUUGGUCUGUGGUGACACCAACGACUCUUGCAGAGGUGCACCCUCCUUCGCCAGGGCACCGCCUGUCCCAGGGCCACCGUGGCAGCGGGAGCGGCUGCUGGGCUUGUUGUGAGGGCAGUCGCCUGAGCAGAGCCCAAGCAAGAGGAACCUGGGGCAGUUUAUGUGGGACGUAUUUCAAGUCUACAGUGGUUUCGAUGCCUGCAUCAUCCCAUGCGGCUGUUCAAAACCUCGGCUCCACGCACUUGGUGGACUUGCAGGAAGAGAUGGUGA